GACGAACGCUGGCGGCGUGCCUAAUACAUGCAAGUCGAACGAACCGCGACUGAGUGCUUGCACUUGGUCAAGGUGAGUGGCGAACGGGUGAGUAACACGUGGGUAACCUACCUCAUAGUGGGGGAUAACAGUCGGAAACGACUGCUAAUACCGCAUAGGACAUGGGAUCACAUGAUUCUGUGAGGAAAGGUGGCGCAAGCUAUCGCUAAGAGAUGGACCCGCGGUGCAUUAGCUAGUUGGUAGGGUAACGGCCUACCAAGGCGAUGAUGCAUAGCCGACCUGAGAGGGUGAUCGGCCACAUUGGGACUGAGACACGGCCCAAACUCCUACGGGAGGCAGCAGUAGGGAAUCUUCCGCAAUGGACGCAAGUCUGACGGAGCAACGCCGCGUGAGUGAAGAAGGUCUUCGGAUCGUAAAGCUCUGUUGUAGAGAAGAAACAGCGCAUAGAGUAAACUGUUAUGGCGUG
rnacentral:rRNA from 1 species